rnacentral:rRNA from 1 species
GACGAACGCUGGCGGCGUGCCUAGUACAUGCAAGUUGAGCGCUGAAGGUUGGUACUUGUACCAACUGGAUGAGCAGCGAACGGGUGAGUAACGCGUGGGGAAUCUGCCUUUGAGCGGGGGACAACAUUUGGAAACGAAUGCUAAUACCGCAUAAAAACUUUAAACACAAGUUUUAAGUUUGAAAGAUGCAAUUGCAUCACUCAAAGAUGAUCCCGCGUUGUAUUAGCUAGUUGGUGAGGUAAAGGCUCACCAAGGCGAUGAUACAUAGCCGACCUGAGAGGGUGAUCGGCCACAUUGGGACUGGGACACGGCCCAAACUCCUACGGGAGGCAGCAGUAGGGAAUCUUCGGCAAUGGACGAAAGUCUGACCGAGCAACGCCGCGUGAGUGAAGAAGGUUUUCGGAUCGUAAAACUCUGUUGGUAGAGAAGAACGUUGGUGAGAGUGGAAAGCUCAUCAAGUGACGGUAACUACCCAGAAAGGGACGGCUAACUACGUG